GACGUAGGGCGCGAGCGUUGUCCGGAUUUAUUGGGCGUAAAGAGCUCGUAGGCGGCUUGUCGCGUCGACUGUGAAAUCCCGCGGCUCAACUGCGGGUCUGCAGUCGAUACGGGCAGGCUAGAGUUCGGUAGGGGAGACUGGAAUUCCUGGUGUAGCGGUGAAAUGCGCAGAUAUCAGGAGGAACACCGAUGGCGAAGGCAGGUCUCUGGGCCGGAUGACUGACGCUGAGGAGCGAAAGCGUGGGGAGCGAACAGG
rnacentral:rRNA from 1 species